UUUGGAAUUUUGGACAAUGGACGAAAGUCUGAUCCAGCGACGCCGCGUGGACGAUGAAGGCCUUCGGGUUGUAAAGUCCUUUUGCUCGGGAACAAUUUUUGAGCGUACCGAGAGAAUAAGAGGUUGCUAACUCUGUGCCAGCAGCAGCGGUAAUACAGAGACCUCAAGCGUUAUCCGGAAUCAUUGGGCGUAAAGCGUACAGAUAGGUGGGUGUAUAAGUCAGAAGUGAAAUCUCCGAGCUUAACUCGGAAUCUGUCUUUUGAAACUAUACAACUAGAGGGGCAAAGAGGAAGCUGGAACGAACGGUGUAGUAGUGAAAUGCGUUGAUAUCGUUCGGAACACCGAUAGCGUAGGCAGGCUUCUGGGUGCCACCUGACACUGCUAGGACGAAAGCGUGGGGAGCGAAUG
rnacentral:rRNA from 1 species